CCUACGGGUGGCAGCAGUGAGGAAUAUUGGUCAAUGGGCUUACGCCUGAACCAGCCAAGUCGCGUGAGGGAAGAAUGCCCUCUGGGUUGUAAACCUCUUUUGUCAGGGAGCAACGCCGGCUACGUGUAGCCGGACUGAGAGUACCUGAAGUAAAAGCAUCGGCUAACUCCGUGCCAGCAGCCGCGGUAAUACGGAGGAUGCGAGCGUUAUCCGGAUUUAUUGGGUGUAAAGGGUGCGUAGGCGGAAUGCCAAGUCAGCGGGAAAAUCGCGGGGCUCAACCUCGCUCCGCCGUUGAAACUGGCGUUCUUGAGUGGGCGAGAAGUAAGCGGAAUGCGUGGUGUAGCGGUGAAAUGCAUAGAUAUCACGCAGAACUCCGAUUGCGAAGGCAGCAUACCGGCGCCCAACUGACGCUGAAGCACGAAAGCGUGGGUAUCGAACAGGAUUAGAUACCCUUGUAGUC
rnacentral:rRNA from 1 species